rnacentral:rRNA from 1 species
AUUGAACGCUGGCGGCAGGCCUAACACAUGCAAGUCGAAUGGUAACAGGAAACAGCUUGCUGUUUCGCUGACGAGUGGCGGACGGGUGAGUAAUGUCUGGGAAACUGCCUGAUGGAGGGGGAUAACUACUGGAAACGGUAGCUAAUACCGCAUAACGUCGCAAGACCAAAGAGGGGGACCUUCGGGCCUCUUGCCCUCAGAUGUGCCCAGAUGGGAUUAGCUAGUAGGUGGGGUAACGGCUCACCUAGGCGACGAUCCCUAGCUGGUCUGAGAGGAUGACCAGCCACACUGGAACUGAGACACGGUCCAGACUCCUACGGGAGGCAGCAGUGGGGAAUAUUGCACAAUGGGCGCAAGCCUGAUGCAGCCAUGCCGCGUGUAUGAAGAAGGCCUUCGGGUUGUAAAGUACUUUCAGCGGGGAGGAAGGGUGUAAAGUUAAUACCUUUGCUCAUUGACGUUACCCGCAGAAGAAGCACCGGCUAACUCCGUG